rnacentral:sRNA from 1 species
UACGCUCGAGUAUUUUGCCGGCUUCGU